rnacentral:tRNA from 1 species
CUAAGGAUUAGGAACUACACAUCGUAACUUUGUUCAGUUUUGAGAGAUUUAACUCUCAAUUAAAUAUUGGGGCCUUAGCUCAGCUGGGAGAGCGCCUGCUUUGCACGCAGGAGGUCAGGAGUUCGAUUCUCCUAGGCUCCAUUGAUAACGUAAGUUAUCAAGUUUGUUCAUUGAAAACUGGAUAAUUGAAUGAAUAUAUACCGAGAAAACACCGCGUUGAAUGAGUUUUUAAUAAAGUUCAACACUUAUUUUCUUAAAUAGGUGAUAAUAAUCGCUAAUAA